CACUAGUGAUUGUGCUCCCCCGCCAAUUCCUUUAAGUUUCAGCCUUGCGGCCGUACUCCCCAGGCGGCAGGUUUAACAGUUUCCCUGCGGCACUAGAGCGGCUCGUAGCCGCUCUAACACCUAACCUGCAUUGUUUACAGCUGGGACUACCCGGGUAUCUAAUCCGGUUCGCUCCCCUAGCUUUCAUCCCUCACCGUCGGGCGCGUUCUAGCCGACAGCCUUCGCCACUGGUGGUCCUCCCGGGAUUAUAGGAUUUCACCCCUACCCUGAGAGUACCCUCGACCUUUCCCGCCUCCGAGUCCAGCAGUAUCUCUAGCAGCCUAAUGGUUGAGCCAUUAGAUUUAACCAGGGACUUACUGGACCGGCUACGGACGCUUUAGGCCCAAUAAUCGUCUUGACUACUCGAGGAGCUGGUUUUACCGCGGCGGCUGGCGCCAGCCUUGCCCUCCCCUUAUUCCACCGGCUACUUACACCGGUGAAAAGCCAACUUUUUCAGUUGGCACUCGGGUUGACCCCGUCACACUUUCGUGCAUUGCGGAGGUUUCGCGCCUGCUGCGCCCCAU
rnacentral:rRNA from 1 species